GACAUGGAGAGGCUAAGGCUCUAGUUAGCCAAGAGGGAAGGACAUGGAGAGGCUAAGGCUCUAGUUAACCAAGAGGGAAGGACAUGGAGAGGCUAAGGCUCUAGUUAGCCAAGAGGGAAGGACAUGGAGAUGCUAAGGUUCUAGUUAACCAAGAGGGAAGGACAUGGAGAGGCUAAGGCUCUAGUUAGCCAAGAGGGAAGGACAUGGAGAGGCUAAGGCUCUAGUUAACCAAGAGGGAAGGACAUGGAGAUGCUAAGGCUCUAGUUAGCCAAGAGGGAAGGACAUGGAGAUGCUAAGGCUCUAGUUAACCAAGAGGGAAGGACAUGGAGAUGCUAAGGCUCUAGUUAACCAAGAGGGAAGGACAUGGAGAUGCUAAGGCUCUAGUUAACCAAGAGGGAAGGACAUGGAGAUGCUAAGGCUCUAGUUAGCCAAGAGGGAAGGACAUGGAGAUGCUAAGGCUCUAGUUAACCAAGAGGGAAGGACAUGGAGAUGCUAAGGCUCUAGUUAACCAAGAGGGAAGGACAUGGAGAUGCUAAGGCUCUAGUUAGCCAAGAGGGAAGGACAUGGAGAUGCUAAGGCUCUAGUUAACCAAGAGGGAAGGACAUGGAGAUGCUAAGGCUCUAGUUAACCAAGAGGGAAGGACAUGGAGAUGCUAAGGCUCUAGUUAACCAAGAGGGAAGGACAUGGAGAUGCUAAGGCUCUAGUUAGCCAAGAGGGAAGGACAUGGAGAUGCUAAGGCUCUAGUUAACCAAGAGGGAAGGACAUGGAGAUGCUAAGGCUCUAGUUAGCCAAGAGGGAAGGACAUGGAGAUGCUAAGGCUCUAGUUAACCAAGAGGGAAGGACAUGGAGAUGCUAAGGCUCUAGUUAGCCAAGAGGGAAGGACAUGGAGAUGCUAAGGCUCUAGUUAACCAAGAGGGAAGGACAUGGAGAUGCUAAGGCUCUAGUUAACCAAGAGGGAAGGACAUGGAGAUGCUAAGGUUCUAGUUAGCCAAGAGGGAAGGACAUGGAGAUGCUAAGGCUCUAGUUAACCAAGAGGGAAGGACAUGGAGAUGCUAAGGUUCUAGUUAGCCAAGAGGGAAGGACAUGGUGGAGAUGCUAAGGCUCUAGUUAGCCAAGAGGGAAGGACAUGGAGAUGCUAAGGCUCUAGUUAGCCAAGAGGGAAGGACAUGGAGAUGCUAAGGUUCUUCUAACCAAUGAGGGAAGGAGAUGGAGAUGCUAAGGCUUUUCUUUCGAAUCCCUUGAGCAGUCAGUCAGUCACCUGGCUGAGUGUGAGUAGCCCUGUGGUGCCAGGCAUGGCCAGGGCAGUCCCAGCCCCUGCUGAGUGCUGGG